CCCAGAGUCAGUAUCCACUGCCUGAGGCGUCAACAUGCCUGCCUGCAGCGUAUACACUCUGGGGUGAGGAAAGGAGCCCGGCCUCUCCAGCAGCUGCACAGGCCUGCAGUAGGAUGGAGAAGAGGCAGCUGACUCAUCCCUAGGGGCUGCGGAGGAGGUCGGGUCACUCUUGAUCCCAGUUCCCAGUGAAAACUGGAGGUUGCCAUCACCUAACCACACAUGCAAUAAAGUCUUCUGCCUGCUGCUUACAGCCCCCGAGAACCUUCUCCGAGAGAAUAAAACCUUUGACUGCUGCUCUUCCUGAGUGGAUUUUGUUUGUGUCUUCUGAUGAACUGUGAUGUCCCGU
rnacentral:lncRNA from 1 species